CGUAGCAAUACAAGGGAAGACCUAGUGGCGAACGGGUGCGUAACACGUGAGGAACUUGUCCCGGUCUCUGGGAUAACAGUUGGAAACGACUGCUAAUACCGGAUGACGUCGGAAUCUCGCAUGGGAUACUGACGAAAGGGUUACUGGAUCGGGAGAGCCUCGCGGCCUAUCAGCUUGUUGGUGAGGUAACGGCUCACCAAGGCAUCGACGGGUAGCUGGUCUGAGAGGAUGAUCAGCCACACUGGGACUGAGACACGGCCCAGACUCCUACGGGAGGCAGCAGUGGGGAAUCUUGCGCAAUGGGCGAAAGCCUGACGCAGCAACGCCGCGUGCGGGAAGAAGGCCCUCGGGUUGUAAACCGCUUUCAGCAGGAACGAAAAUGACGGUACUUGCAGAAGAAGGUGCGGCCAACUACGUGCCAGCAGCCGCGGUGACACGUAGGCACCAAGCGUUGUCCGGAUUUAUUGGGCGUAAAGAGCUCGUAGGCGGUUCGGUAAGUCGGGUGUGAAAACUUUGGGCUUAACCCAAAGCCUGCAUCCGAUACUGCUGU
rnacentral:rRNA from 1 species